AGAGAGAGACAUGCGCGCAUAUCAAUAAGCGGAGGAAAAGAAACUAACAAGGAUUCCCUUAGUAACGGCGAGUGAGGCGGGAAGAGCUCAAAUUUGAAAUCUUCAAGGUUUUACCUUGACGAAUUGUAGUUUAAAGAAGUGUUUUCUGCUGAAGUUUUGGUAAAAGUUCUUUGGAAUAGGACAUCAUAGAGGGUGAGAAUCCCGUAUUUGACCAUUAUUUUCAGCUUUGUGAUACACUUUCAAAGAGUCGGAUUGUUUGGGAAUGCAGUCCAUAAAUGGGUGGUAAAUUUCAUCUAAAGCUAAAUAUUGGCGAGAGACCGAUAGCGAACAAGUACCGUGAGGGAAAGAUGAAAAGAACUUUGAAAAGAGAGUUAAACAGUACGUGAAAUUGUCAAAAGGGAAGCGUUUGACACCAGUGUUGUUUUCCUCGAAAAUCAAUUAAAAAUGGCUCGAUUUUGUAUUGCUUGAGACCUUAAAAGCUCACUGUACAUUUUUCGUGUCUUUUUUAAUGCACUUUUCGUUUAACAAGUCAACAUCAGUUUCUUUUGUUGUAAAAGGGUCAUUGGAAGGUGGCUUUCCUUUCGGAGAAAGUGUUUAUAGCCUUUGGCCUCUGCAAUCGGAAGAGACUGAGGUCUGCAGCGUAGACUCUUCGGGGUUAGAUACAUUUGUGCUAAGUUAUAGCUUUUUAUAGACAACUUGUUGACUAUAAUUAGUCUUGUAGCUUACUCGCUUAUGCUAUUUUACCUACGCUUAGGAUGUUGAAGAUGUAGCACAUCAU
rnacentral:rRNA from 1 species